AAAAAAUGAAGCAAAAGCAAGUUUCCGUAAACGUUUCGUCUUCUCACUAAAAUCCGUUUUUGUUUAAGCUUCUCAUUACAAAUAAGGAUGAAAAAAAUUGAGUCUGUCAGAACACCGUUCGACCACCCUAGUGAGUGAAACCAACUAGGAACGAUCAUCACCGUUCGACCACCCUAGUGAGUGAAACCAACUAGGAACGAUCAUCUACAGCUGAGUUGAUACCACACAACAUGCGGAUCAUCCUGGCCGUUAAUCACGCUCUGAUCACACGAUCAUGAUUCAUCCACCAGACUUACGUUCCUGUCUCCUUAGAAAUCAAGGACACAGUAGUACGAACCUAUAGAACAGAUCCUGUUCAAGUAAGGUCGUGCACAACUGUGGUUAGCCUAAGGUAUAUAAACAGUGAAGAUUUGUUGCGGUUGAAAGAUGUGGGAGUAAUGUAAUGGUUUCUGCUGCGUUUGGGAUUUAUUUAUUUAUGAAAAAAAUGUUCCUGUUAAGUCUCAUAAUCUUUGCAGAUUUUGUAACAAAACAAAACACUGAUAAGAUUGUAUGGGUGACUGUAAAUAUGUUUCUAAAACGCAGUUAUAUUUAUCAGUAGUUAGCAGCAAUAGUGGAUACUUCAUUUCUUUAAGCAAUUUAAAAUUGUCCUAUGUAGAUUAAAUUGCUUGCUUUUUAUAGAAUCCUUUUCGCCACAGGACUCAGUUCCGCUUUAGGUGGAUAUACGGUAAACAUUGCUGAUUUAAGUGUAUGUUACUUACAAGCAAUUUGAACACGCCAUAGGCAGUACUUGGAGUUCAAAGACAUAGAUGGUAAACAGCAUAGGAAAUUUAAUUUUGGUUGGGUUCUAUCUUAUUAUUAUAAAAUAAGGUGUAUAUAUAGCAUGUUUCUGUACCGAGUCACAAAUUGAUAAACAUGACCAAUAAGCAAUGAAAACUUGCAAUGAAACCAAUAAGCAAAUGAACCUAGAAGGCCAACACAGUCUCACACCCAUCUAAUACUCAUAGGAACUCAUUUUCAAAGGAGAUGGAUGGUGUUGUAUCAUAAAGUAAUGGUGAAAAUAUGAACAAACCCAGUGUAGCAAGUUUUUGAACAAGUUAAAUCUCUUUCUCUUAACUUUAUUCUUUGUUGUAUAUAGUAUUUUGCUUGUUUAAGGAAAAGAAUGAUGAGUGGAGACUUUGCAGCAAAGUCUCGCAGUCCCACAUUGCUAAUGCUCAACUUGUUUUUAAAUUCUGUUAGUUGUCUCCUUUCAGAGAAGCUGUCUCUUUUAAUACUCUAAGUGAAAUAUGAUGUUUGGCAGUAGCUCAGUUUGUAUACUUGAUAUGCUUGAACAAUUUGGUGGGGGUUUGAUAAAGUUAAAUUGAUCACCUUGCUGUGCAAUGAACAGUACUAUAAUUUUUCAUUGGUGUUUUUGAAGGAAAUAUGUUAAGCCUAACUAACUGUUUACAGUGCAUGCAUAACACUAAGGUAAAUCCUCUUUUGUCUUCUACAGGAUUCUUUUGUAGCUAUAGCCAUGGUAGGUUUUGAUCAUGAAAUGGUGAGGUUUGUAAAGACUUACUUAAAACAAAAGAUGGAGCAUAUCAUUGGCUCAUAUAUAGCUCUUAUUUUCAAAGCGUAGCUUGUGGAGGCAUGGUAAAGAAGGGAACAACCUGAACUCUAUCUAAUCUUGAGAUGUUUGACAGGCAUUCUGACGGUCCGUUUAUAUUUUUAUUUGAAAACGGUGAGGUGUUUAAAAACUUAAAUAAAAGAUGGAAUAGAUUGUUUAGCUCAGUACAGCUCCUGUGUUGCAAGGUGAGUUCUUCAUGUGCUCCUCGGUUGCAAGGUAAGUUUUUAUUCAUGUGCUAUGUUUGAGUUGAAACUCAAUUGUCACUAAAUUGGUAUACUUUAGGGAAGCCAUUGUCACAAAAUUGGUAUCUUUAGGGAAGCCAUUGUCUUUGUGCCGAUUGUUGUCAUCACUAUUUUCAUGUCAAUGUUUGGACGAAUGGUGUAGGAUACUGGAUCGGAUAAAAGUGGUAGAUUAGCUUCGGGAA